UCCCUGGUAGUCCAGUGGCUAAGACUCCAUGCUCCCAAUGCGAGGAGCCCAGGUUCAAUCCCUGGUCAAGGAA
rnacentral:tRNA from 1 species